AUGCUUUGGUCCUUGGUCAUUGACAAGUACCACGUCCCUGAUAUCGUCAUUUCCACUUGGCCCUUGUUCGACUCGGUCCAAUCUUGGUGGGCAAGUACUUGCGACGACGGCUAUCUGCACAGACAAGCCAAGGCAUCCAUCACCAUGCUUGUUUCAUGGAAAAUUUGGAAUGAGUGAAACGCACGAGUUUUCAGGCAUAAGUGCGCCCCUCCGGCAGUGCUGCUUUCCUCCAUCGCCACCGAGGCUAACCUCUGGAUCACCGCCGGUGCUAAAAAACUAGGGUCUUUGUUAUUGCGCGAGUAA
rnacentral:rRNA from 1 species